UACAGAGGUCUCAAGCGUUGUUCGGAUUCAUUGGGCGUAAAGGGUGCGUAGGCGGCGCGGUAAGUCGGGUGUGAAAUCUCGGAGCUUAACUCCGAAACUGCAUUCGAUACUGCCGUGCUUGAGGACUGGAGAGGAGAGUGGAAUUUACGGUGUAGCGGUGAAAUGCGUAGAUAUCGUAAGGAAGACCAGUGGCGAAGGCGGGUCUCUGGACAGUUCCUGACACUGAGGCACGAAGGCCAGGGGAGCAAACGGG
rnacentral:rRNA from 1 species